UACAGAGGUCCCAAGCGUUGUUCGGAUUCAUUGGGCGUAAAGGGUGCGUAGGCGGCGCCGUAAGUCGGAUGUGAAAUCUCGGGGCUCAACCCUGAAACUGCAUUCGAUACUGCGGUGCUAGAGGACUGGAGAGGAAACUGGAAUUCACGGUGUAGCAGUGAAAUGCGUAGAUAUCGUGAGGAAGGCCUGUGGCGAAGGCGGGUUUCUGGACAGUUCCUGACGCUGAGGCACGAAGGCCAGGGGAGCAAACGGG
rnacentral:rRNA from 1 species